rnacentral:rRNA from 1 species
GAUGAACGCUGGCGGUAUGCUUAACACAUGCAAGUCGUACGAAGUGCGAUGGGGUUUACUCUAUCGUAUGGCAGUGGCGGACGGGUGCGUAACGCGUAAGAACUUACCUUUUGGCGAGGGACAACCCGCGGGAAACUGCGGCUAAUACCUCAUAGAGCUGAGGAGCGAAAGGUGAAAACCACCAAAAGAGAGGCUUGCGUCUGAUUAGCUAGUUGGUGAGGGUAAUGGCCUCCCAAGACGACGAUCAGUAGCUGGUCUGAGAGGAUGAUCAGCCACACUGGAACUGAGACACGGUCCAGACUCCUACGGGAGGCAGCAGUGAGGAAUUUUCCGCAAUGGGCGCAAGCCUGACGGAGCAAUACCGCGUGGAGGAGGAAGGCCCGUGGUCGUAACUCCUUUCUCAGAGAGAACACAUGACGUAUCUGAGAAU